UUGUUCAUUCUGAAAAAAAGAUAUCUCAUUUCUUUUCCUUUGGCUCUUUGACCUUUUCUUAGAUUCUGACAUUGAAACUAAAACGGGACAUGUUUGUUUUUAGCCACUUGGGGGAAAUCUUAAACUGUAACCAGUCCGUCAGCUCCCCUCACAACUGGGAGCAACCGUUCUACGCCAAGCCAGGUCAUUUGGAGACCAGCCUGGAGAACCUCCCACAUACCUACUUUGUAUCCUGCCCUCUGCACCCCAGAAGGGCAUCGGUAUAUUAAUUGGUACAAGCUAGCACCAUCCCUGUGCUAAUUCGCCUACCAGGGAUUUUGGAAUCCGUAGCAAGGACACUCUUGGGGACCAUAUAGGGUUUGUUUUGGGACACUUGGUAUCUGCUAGUGAUUGUCACUUCCACUAUUACACCACAUUCAUUUUUUGUAUAAGACUCGGGACAUUUAUUUUGAUGAUUAAGUUUUAUAGUUUAUCGCACAUAUUUUGUCAAUAUUUAAGUUGCAUAUUGUUUUUAUAUAUCUAUAAUAGUUGAUAGUGUUCCCCAAACCAGUAAACUCUCUGGUCAAAGAGGUUUGAGCUCAGAUCAUCUUUUCCGCAUAUGAGAUUCUCUUUACCUUUAUAUAUUACCUGAAAUUUACUUGUACCAUUUAUUUACUUAAUUAACUUUAUAUUUUUAGUACUAACCUUGCUUGUCUCCACUUAUCAAUUUAAAUUUAUAUACUUUUUCCUCUUAAUUUGCUUAAUUUAUUAACUUAUUCAUAUAACUUUUAUCUUUCUUUAGUCAAUCAUAACUAUUUAACUUAUUUGCUUAACUUUACUUAAAUUCAUUUAAUCAAUUUUUAAUUAUAUCUUUGGACGCUAUUCCCUUUGAAUAGCUAUCCAUUUUACUUGCUAUAUUUUUUAGUGACUACGUGUCGAAGCAACUGAUUUUUAUAUAUCAAGUAGACCGUAGGUUCACCUUAAUGAGGCUAGUGCCUAUUUAACUCUUUGAGAGUUACGGAAAUUAUUCAUUGUGAAUAAUCCUCCCUUAAUUACAUUCUGGUUCAUUAGUUCUAUAGGGUUUAACGUUGCUGUACGUAUUGCAAUCGUACAAUUAUUUGGUGAAGGUUGUUAUUUAACCUAGUAUAUGUAAGUUGGGGGUACGCUCCAUAUAAGAGCUACUCCAUUACUAAUGUAACUAUAGAUUAUAUUUAUAUUACUAUAGGUAAUUAUUUCCCAUUGUCAUUUUAGAGUUACAUAGUUUGUAUUUUUCUAACUCAGAGGUUGUCAAAAAUCUAAGUAGUUAUAUUUAAUAAAUAUUUAUUUGUUUUUGUA